UAGAGGGUGGCUCGAAGAGAGCCGUAACACAGGUGCUGCAUGGCUGUCGUCAGCUCGUGUCGUGAGAUGUUGGUUAAGUCCGCAACGAGCGCAACCCUUGUCAUUAGUUGCUACAUUCAGUUGGGCACUCUAAUGAGACUGCCGGUGACAAGCCGGAGAAGUGGGGAUGACGUCAAGUCCUCAUGGCCCUUAUAGUGGGGCUACACACGUCAUACAAUGGCUGGUACAAAGGGUUGCCAACCCGCAGGGGGAGCCAAUCCCAUAAAGCCAGUCGUAGUCCGGAUCGUAGUCUGCAACUCGACUACGUGAAGUCGGAAUCGCUAGUAAUCGUGGAUCAGAAUGUCACGGUGAAUACGUUCCCGGGUCUU
rnacentral:rRNA from 1 species